CACGCCGUAAACGAUGAGUGCUAGGUGUUAGGGGGUUUCCGCCCCUUAGUGCUGGCGUUAACGCAUUAAGCACUCCGCCUGGGGAGUACGGCCGCAAGGCUGAAACUCAAAAGAAUUGACGGGGACCCGCACAAGCGGUGGAGCAUGUGGUUUAAUUCGAAGCAACGCGAAGAACCUUACCAGGGCUUGACAUAUAUGCGCUAGCACUAGAGAUAGUGGGUUCUCUUCGGAGACGUAUAUACAGGUGG
rnacentral:rRNA from 1 species